rnacentral:rRNA from 1 species
CCUACGGGAGACAGCAGUGAGGAAUAUUGGUCAAUGGGCGGGAGCCUGAACCAGCCAAGUCGCGUGAGGGAAGACGGUCCUAUGGAUUGUAAACCUCUUUAGGCGGGGAGCAAGGCCGGGCACGCGUGCCCGGAGGGAGAGGACCCGCAGAAUAAGCAGCGGCGAACUCCGUGCCAGCAGCCGCGGUAAUACGGAGGAUGCGAGCGUUAGCCGGAUUUAUUGGGUUUAAAGGGUGCGUAGGCGGAUUUUUAAGUCAGCGGUAAAAUGUCCGGGCUCAACCCGGGCCUGCCGGUGAAACUGGGGAUCUUGAUUGGGCGACACGUAUGCGGAAUGCGUGGUGUAGCGGU